rnacentral:rRNA from 1 species
UACGGAGGGUGCAAGCGUUAUCCGGAUUCACUGGGUUUAAAGGGUGCGUAGGCGGGUAAGUAAGUCCGUGGUGAAAUCUCUGAGCUUAACUCAGAAACUGCCUUGGAUACUAUUUGCCUUGAAUAUUGUGGAGGUGAGCGGAAUAUGUCAUGUAGCGGUGAAAUGCUUAGAUAUCUGAAAGAACACCAGUGGCGAAGGCGGUCAGCUGGUCCGUUACUGACACUAAAGCACGAAAGCGUGGGUAGCAAACAGG